UACAUGUGGGGCAAGCGUUGUUCGGAAUUACUGGGCAUAAAGGGUGCGUAGGCGGCAUGCCAAGUCAGGGGUGAAAGGUUUCGGCCCAACCGGGACAGUGCCUUUGAUACUGGCGUGCUUGAGCGCGUGAGGGGUGACUGGAACGAGUGGUGUAGCGGUGAAAUGCGUAGAUAUCACUCGGAAGGCCAACGGCGAAGGCAGGUCACUGGUACGCAACUGACGCUGAGGCACGAAAGCGUGGGGAGCAAACAGG
rnacentral:rRNA from 1 species